GACGAACGCUGGCGGCGUGGAUUAGGCAUGCAAGUCGAACGGUAGGAUACCUUCGGGUAUCUGAGAGUGGCGAACGGGUGAGUAACACGUAGGUGAUCUACCCUCAAGAUUGGGACAACCCAGGGAAACUUGGGCUAAUACCGGAUGAAAGCAGCAGUGAUGUUGUUUGAAAGGUGGCGUAAGCUGCCGUUUGGGGAUGAGCCUGCGCUCUAUUAGUUAGUUGGCGGGGUAAAGCCCACCAAGGCGAUGAUAGAUAGGCGGCCUUAACGGGUGGUCGCCCACACUGGGAUUGAGAUACGGCCCAGACUCCUACGGGAGGCAGCAGUCGAGAAUAGUCUACAAUGGCCGAAAAGGCUGAUAGUGCGACGCCGCGUGAAACGAAGAAAGCCCGUUCGGGGUGUAAAGUUCUUUUAUAAUGUGAGCAGUUGCUUUCUAUGUGAACAGCAUGGGGAGAGAGAUAUUAGCAUAUGAAUAAGCAAACGGCUAACUCCGUGCCAGCACG
rnacentral:rRNA from 1 species